UACGAAGGGGGCUAGCGUUGCUCGGAAUUACUGGGCGUAAAGCGCACGUAGGCGGCUCUUUAAGUCGGAGGUGAAAUCCUGGAGCUCAACUCCAGAACUGCCUUCGAUACUGAAGAGCUCGAGUCCGGGAGAGGUGAGUGGAACUGCGAGUGUAGAGGUGAAAUUCGUAGAUAUUCGCAAGAACACCAGUGGCGAAGGCGGCUCACUGGCCCGGUACUGACGCUGAGGUGCGAAAGUGUGGGGAGCAAACAGG
rnacentral:rRNA from 1 species